rnacentral:tRNA from 1 species
AGCCUUGUGGCCUAAUGGUUAAGGCGUUGGUUUUCGGUCAAGAUAAUCACCAAAGAUUGGGUGUUCGAAUCAUCCCAAGGUCG